GGAAUGGCUCAAACCAAAAGAGACCUUUCCAGAACCUGAGGCUAAGAAGGGUUGUAACAGAGGCUGGAUAAAAACGCUCCUUUCAGCCAAGUCCUCCUUAUUCUGAAGUUGAGAGUGAGAUAAAGGUGUGGUUGCGAAAUUCAACAGACAGAGUGGGUGGACGAAAGGAGUGCUACCACCGUCUGCUGACUAGUUGAGAGACCUUGGGGGAAGACAAACUGACUGCUGGGGGCACCCCUCCCAGCCAGGUGCACCAGGUGAAGCUGAUCUACUAAUUGGCAGAGCAAAAACAGAGUCAAUGUAGAGAAGCAGCAGAAAGCAGCACUGAGAAGUGGCAAACUUGCUAUUACUUGGACUGAAGCAAACUCUUUUGUGCAGAAUUAAGCCCACUAUAAUCAAUGGAGAUGUAGCUGGUUUUUCACCUGACUGGUUGAUUGAUUGACUGACUGGCUGAAUGAACACUGCAUCGAACUUACAAAAUAAAAAAG